rnacentral:misc_RNA from 1 species
GUUAUAAAAAGCAAAAUAUUAUUUUUCUACUUUUGAAUUAGAACUAGGUGUUGAGAUCUUGUUGUAAAAAAUGUAAAUUCUGGAAGAAAUGAAAAUAUCAACAAGAGCUGUAUGAAUUUCAGCAUAACCACAGAGUGCUUAUUAGCUAAGUUCUAGAUGCUGCUUUAGUUUGAAGUGUUGCUACACUACUAUACAUGUCCUAUCAAUUGUUCUGCACUCAUUUUCUU